rnacentral:rRNA from 1 species
CGGAGGAAAAGAAACUAACAAGGAUUCCCCUAGUAGCGGCGAGCGAAGCGGGAAGAGCUCAAAUUUAUAAUCUGGCACCUUCGGUGUCCGAGUUGUAAUCUCUAGAAAUGUUUUCCGCGUUGGACCGCACACAAGUCUGUUGGAAUACAGCGGCAUAGUGGUGAGACCCCCGUAUAUGGUGCGGACGCCCAGCGCUUUGUGAUACAUUUUCGAAGAGUCGAGUUGUUUGGGAAUGCAGCUCAAAUUGGGUGGUAAAUUCCAUCUAAAGCUAAAUAUUGGCGAGAGACCGAUAGCGAACAAGUACCGUGAGGGAAAGAUGAAAAGCACUUUGGAAAGAGAGUUAACAGUACGUGAAAUUGUUGGAAGGGAAACGCUUGAAGUCAGACUUGCUUGCCGAGCAAUCGGUUUGCAGGCCAGCAUCAGUUUUCCGGGAUGGAUAAUGGUAGAGAGAAGGUAGCAGUUUCGGCUGUGUUAUAGCUCUCUGCUGGAUACAUCUUGGGGGACUGAGGAACGCAGUGUGCCUUUGGCGGGGGUUUCGACCUCUUCACACUUAGGAUGCUGGUGGAAUGGCUUUAAACGACC